CAGGAAGUAAGACAUCCAGAGUUGCCCUGUCUAGGGGAGACGGCUGGUCACUAAGGCCCCUUGCUUAGCCAGGUGGUCUGAAAACAGCUUUCAAAAAUGUGGCUCUCAACUGUGUUGAUGGGACCUCUCCUCUGCUCUGGGGAUCAGCCCCUGAGAGUCGACACAGUGUCAGCACUUGCCCAGGAGACAUGAGAGUGGAACGCCAUGUGUCACCGCAGCUGGUUCUGGCAGCUGAAGCUGACAAAUGACCACGAGGCUUCAGUGGCCUGGCAGCACCAGACUCCGGACCUCACUGAAGACUUUCCUGACCGUAAACAGUGGGGCUGUUCUAACCUACGGUGGACAGACCUGCGGACUCGGUCCUCUGAAGGAUUCUCUCCCUAAUUAGCAUAUCUGCCCUGAAACUUCCUUCCUUACGUCCCACAGUCUCUGGCGUUUCCCGAUCUGUGCGUCCCUCAGUUGUUACUCACUGGUGGCUGUUUCCUCGCCUGACGAAUUUUUUCCCAGGCACUGGCAGUCUUUGUUUUAUUCUUUGGCAUGUAGGAAGUCAGUUAAUAGGUGUUUUUAUUAACUUUCAGUGCUGUUUCCAUGUAUGUUUCCCUCUCGGGUAAGCGAGGUGAGGGAUGACGUCUGUGGGCGCAGAUGAUGCCCUUCUCGGUGCCUCAGUGCCCUGUGACCACCCUCCCCUUGCCAAACGGAUCACUUAUACAAUUUGCGGGGGGUCUUAUUUAACGAAAAGAACAAAAAACCUUCAGCAAAUUUUUAUUUGCAAACAACAAAUAUUUAUUUAAAGUGAGAAAAUAGAACCCAACAAAUUACAAAUUUAAAGCAGGCGAGAAACGCCGCUUCCUAACCGGAGCGCACACGGCGUUGCCUUUCCGCCUUUGGAGCCGCCACAGCAGCUGCGCAGGCGCAGGACCCGGACGCUGGAGCGGCUUCAGCUUCGCGCGAAUCCCCCGGACGCCGCCGCCCGGCCGUCAGGCCCCGCCCCCGGCAGCCCCGCCCCGCCUCCUCUCGGCGGCCGGGAGGGACGCCAGGUUCGUGGACUGAGAGAGGCUCAGGUGUGGGGAUGAGCCGCGGGUUGGGGACCUGGGCCGCUUCCCUGUGCGUAGCCCCCUCCUUGGAAAUCAGUAGCCUCUCGGAGCUGUGCUUUCUUCUUUAUAAGAUGGAAUCGGAGGACGUGCAGGCUCGCCGCCUGUGGUUCUGCAGGAGGGGUCCAGGGAUGCGGUGAGGGAGUUCUACGCUUCACAGCCCCAAGUCCGCGAAAACCUGUAUUGUUGGUGCGGAGCGGGCUCUAGUCUAAGGAAAUACGAUCUACGAUCCUCUCUGUAAAAAGAAACGUGACUAACCGGUAAUUUAAGAUGUGGAAACCAUCUUCCUCACCAAAAACAAAAAGCAUAAAAAAAGGGAAGGGAGAUAUAGAAAUUUAUGCAUGUGUCUACAGAAGGGUAAUCAGUGGUUUUCAGUGAUAAUAAACAGCAUUUCUUCA
ensembl:lncRNA